rnacentral:pre_miRNA from 1 species
CAACUACUCCCUCUGUCCCAAAUUUCUUGUCUUAGAUUUGUCUAGAUACGGAUGUAUCUAAUACUAAAAUGUGACUUGAUACAUCUGUAUCUAGACAAAUCUAAGACAAGAAUUUUGGGACGGAGAGAGUACUUU